rnacentral:rRNA from 1 species
GAACGGGUGAGUAACACGUGAGCAACCUGCCCUAGGCUUUGGGAUAACCCCGGGAAACCGGGGCUAAUACCGAAUAUGACCUCUGGACGCAUGUCUGGUGGUGGAAAGUUUUUCGGCCUGGGAUGGGCUCGCGGCCUAUCAGCUUGUUGGUGGGGUGAUGGCCUACCAAGGCGACGACGGGUAGCCGGCCUGAGAGGGCGACCGGCCACACUGGGACUGAGACACGGCCCAGACUCCUACGGGAGGCAGCAGUGGGGAAUAUUGCACAAUGGGCGGAAGCCUGAUGCAGCGACGCCGCGUGAGGGAUGACGGCCUUCGGGUUGUAAACCUCUUUCAGCAGGGACGAAGCGUAAGUGACGGUACCUGCAGAAGAAGCACCGGCCAACUACGUGCCAGCAGCCGCGGUAAGACGUAGGGUGCGAGCGUUGUCCGGAUUUAUUGGGCGUAAAGAGCUCGUAGGCGGCUUGUCGCGUCGACCGUGAAAACUUGGGGCUCAACUCCAAGCCUGCGGUCGAUACGGGCAGGCUAGAGUUCGGUAGGGGAGACUGGAAUUCCUGGUGUAGCGGUGAAAUGCGCAGAUAUCAGGAGGAACACCGGUGGCGAAGGCGGGUCUCUGGGCCGAUACUGACGCUGAGGAGCGAAAGCGUGGGGAGCGAACAGGAUUAGAUACCCUGGUAGUCCACGCUGUAAACGUUGGGCGCUAGGUGUGGGGGGCCUCUCCGGUUCCCUGUGCCGCAGCUAACGCAUUAAGCGCCCCGCCUGGGGAGUACGGCCGCAAGGCUAAAACUCAAAGGAAUUGACGGG